rnacentral:rRNA from 1 species
UUUUAUGGAGAGUUUGAUCCUGGCUCAGGAUGAACGCUGGCGGCGUGCCUAAUACAUGCAAGUCGAGCGAACGGACGAGAAGCUUGCUUCUCUGAUGUUAGCGGCGGACGGGUGAGUAACACGUGGGUAACCUACCUAUAAGACUGGGAUAACUUCGGGAAACCGGAGCUAAUACCGGAUAAUAUUUUGAACCGCAUGGUUCAAAAGUAAAAGACGGUCUUGCUGUCACUUAUAGAUGGAUCCGCGCUGCAUUAGCUAGUUGGUAAGGUAACAGCUUACCAAGGCAACGAUGCAUAGCCGACCUGAGAGGGUGAUCGGCCACACUGGAACUGAGACACGGUCCAGACUCCUACGGGAGGCAGCAGUAGGGAAUCUUCCGCAAUGGGCGAAAGCCUGACGGAGCAACGCCGCGUGAGUGAUGAAGGUCUUCGGAUCGUAAAGCUCUGUUAUUAGGGAAGAACAUAUGUGUAAGUAACUGUGCACAUCUUGACGGUACCUAAUCAGAAAGCCACGGCUAACUACGUGCCAGCAGCCGCGGUAAUACGUAGGUGGCAAGCGUUAUCCGGAAUUAUUGGGCGUAAAGCGCGCGUAGGCGGUUUUUUAAGUCUGAUGUGAAAGCCCACGGCUCAACCGUGGAGGGUCAUUGGAAACUGGAAAACUUGAGUGCAGAAGAGGAAAGUGGAAUUCCAUGUGUAGCGGUGAAAUGCGCAGAGAUAUGGAGGAACACCAGUGGCGAAGGCGACUUUCUGGUCUGUAACUGACGCUGAUGUGCGAAAGCGUGGGGAUCAAACAGGAUUAGAUACCCUGGUAGUCCACGCCGUAAACGAUGAGUGCUAAGUGUUAGGGGGUUUCCGCCCCUUAGUGCUGCAGCUAACGCAUUAAGCACUCCGCCUGGGGAGUACGACCGCAAGGUUGAAACUCAAAGGAAUUGACGGGGACCCGCACAAGCGGUGGAGCAUGUGGUUUAAUUCGAAGCAACGCGAAGAACCUUACCAAAUCUUGACAUCCUUUGACAACUCUAGAGAUAGAGCCUUCCCCUUCGGGGGACAAAGUGACAGGUGGUGCAUGGUUGUCGUCAGCUCGUGUCGUGAGAUGUUGGGUUAAGUCCCGCAACGAGCGCAACCCUUAAGCUUAGUUGCCAUCAUUAAGUUGGGCACUCUAAGUUGACUGCCGGUGACAAACCGGAGGAAGGUGGGGAUGACGUCAAAUCAUCAUGCCCCUUAUGAUUUGGGCUACACACGUGCUACAAUGGACAAUACAAAGGGCAGCGAAACCGCGAGGUCAAGCAAAUCCCAUAAAGUUGUUCUCAGUUCGGAUUGUAGUCUGCAACUCGACUACAUGAAGCUGGAAUCGCUAGUAAUCGUAGAUCAGCAUGCUACGGUGAAUACGUUCCCGGGUCUUGUACACACCGCCCGUCACACCACGAGAGUUUGUAACACCCGAAGCCGGUGGAGUAACCUUUUAGGAGCUAGCCGUCGAAGGUGGGACAAAUGAUUGGGGUGAAGUCGUAACAAGGUAGCCGUAUCGGAAGGUGCGGCUGGAUCACCUCCUUUCUAA